UACGUAGGGUGCAAGCGUUUGUCCGGAAUUAUUGGGCGUAAAGAGCUCGUAGGCGGUUUGUCGCGUCUGCUGUGAAAACGCGAGGCUCAACUCCGGGUCUGCAGUCGAUACGGGCAAACUGGAGUACUGCAGGGGAGACUGGAAUUCCUGGUGUAGCGGUGAAAUGCGCAGAUAUCAGGAGGAACACCGGUGGCGAAGGCGGGUCUCUGGGCAGUAACUGACGCUGAGGAGCGAAAGCGUGGGGAGCGAACAGG
rnacentral:rRNA from 1 species